GCGUGCGUAGCUCAACGGAUAGAGCAUCUGACUACGGAUCAGAAGGUUGGGGGUUCGAAUCCCUUCGCGCGCACCA
rnacentral:tRNA from 41 species